rnacentral:rRNA from 1 species
UACGUAGGUGACAAGCGUUGUCCGGAUUUACUGGGCGUAAAGAGCGCGCAGGCGGUCGUUCAAGUCGAGUGUGAAAGCCCCCGGCUCAACUGGGGAGGGUCAUUCGAUACUGAUCGACUCGAAGGCAGGAGAGGGAAGUGGAAUUCCCGGUGUAGUGGUGAAAUGCGUAGAUAUCGGGAGGAACACCGAUAGCGAAGGCAGCACUCUGGUACGUGACUGACGCUGAGACGCGAAAGCGUGGGGAGCAAACAGG